GAAUUGUUCGCAAUGGGCGCAAGCCUGACGACGCAACGCCGCAUGGAGGACGAAGAUCUUCGGGUCGUAAACUCCUUUCGAUCGGGAAGAACGGCUUCCGGGUGAACAAUCCGGGAGAGUGACGGUACCGAGAGAAGAAGCCCCGGCUAACUCCGUGCCAGCAGCCGCGGUAAUACGGGGGGGGCAAGCGUUGUUCGGAAUUACUGGGCGUAAAGGGCUCGUAGGCGGCCAACUAAGUCCGACGUGAAAUCCCCAGGCUUAACCUGGGAACUGCGUCGGAUACUGGAUGGCUUGAAUUCGGGAGAGGAAUGCAGAAUUCCAGGUGUAGCGGUGAAAUGCGUAGAUAUCUGGAGGAAUACCGGUGGCGAAGGCGGCAUCCUGGACCGACAUUGACGCUGAGGUGCGAAAGCGUGGGGAGCAAAC
rnacentral:rRNA from 1 species